ACUGUUAGGCUUGGGACCGGGAGAGGUGGGAGGUACUCCAGGGGUAGGGGUGAAAUCUCGUAAUCCUUGGGGGACCACCGAUGGCGAAGGCAUCCCACCAGAACGGGUCCGACGGUGAGGGACGAAAGCUGGGGGCACGAACCGGAUUAGAUACCCGGGUAGUCCCAGCUGUAAACGAUGCUCGCUAGGUGUCAGGUGCGGUGCGACCGCAU
rnacentral:rRNA from 1 species